rnacentral:lncRNA from 10 species
GCCCUCAAGGUCUAAUGGAGGAAAGAGAUGUACACAGCUAUUCUAGAGGGAAAUUGACAUGAACAGAAGUUCUCAUCCUGUGCUCCAGGAUCACACUGGAGGAGGGAGAUGCUCCCAGAGGGUCUUGGGAAGGCUUUCCAAUCUGGAGCUGGAAGAAUGUUUGCCCAAGAGAUGUACACAGUUAUUCUAGAGGGAAAUUGACAUGAACAGAAGUUCUC